GGUCAUGGCUCAGGAUGAACGCUGGCGGCGUGCUUAACACAUGCAAGUCGAACGAAGCACUUUAUUUGAUUUCCUUCGGGACUGAUUAUUUUGUGACUGAGUGGCGGACGGGUGAGUAACGCGUGGGUAACCUGCCUUGUACAGGGGGAUAACAGUUGGAAACGGCUGCUAAUACCGCAUAAGCGCACAGCAUCGCAUGAUGCAGUGUGAAAAACUCCGGUGGUAUAAGAUGGACCCG
rnacentral:rRNA from 1 species